AUAUAUAUAUAUAGAGAGAGAGAGAGAGAGUAAAAAAGUUCCCAGAACAAUAAAGAAGACGACUUGUCAGAAAUGCAGGGUGAUGAGGCCAGAACCUUGCUCGGGUUCCCUCCCAAUUCUCACCCUACCCUCUCUCAGGUUAAAGCAGCUUACAAAAGGAAGGUAUGGGAGUCUCAUCCUGACCUUUUUCCAGCUCAACAAAAACCCCAUGCAGAGUCAAAGUUCAAAUUGAUUUCAGAAGCAUACUCUUGCCUGCUGUCUGGUAAUUUUCCUAUUGUAAAAAAGACCAAAGGUGUAAGAUAGAGUCAUGGUUUGCAAACUCCCAAAUGGACUAAAGAAGUUAUUGGACAAACUUGUCAAUCUCAAUUUUCAAUCUACCAAUUUAGCAUAAUCAACUCAAGAUGUUAAUAAAAUUCAUGUUCUAAAUUUUCAGAAUGAUGCAUUAUCUGAACCAUGCCACUUUAUGCUGUUUCUGUUUGUCUGUUGAAAUGACCUUGAUUUGGUUGAGUUGUUUGAUAUUUUCUGUACUUGUUUUCCAAUUUGCUUGUUCUUCUUCUUCUUCUUCUUCUUUAUUUUCCCUUUGCCCUUUCUCUCAUAUAUCUCAUUGUACCUGUUUUUGAGUUCCCUUUAACUGUUACUGUAGUUUUAAGUGUUAGCUUAGGCUUGCUCAAGUGAUUUAUUUGAGGAUUCUGAAGAAGAUAUCUAAGCCAACUGGAUAGUCUUGGGGGCAUGCAACAGGAGAUAUGCGACUGGGAAGGAAUUCCAGUGUAUCAGACAGGAAGAAGAUAAAGUUUCUACAGCUGGCUACUUACCACAUGGUUGAAGAGGUGGCCCCACUUUGGUCCUCAGGAUAUCUUGAUCCUGGAUGGGAGAAUGGUAUUGCUCAGGAUGAAAGGAAAAAGAAGGUUAAAUGCAAAUAUUGCAGGAAAAUGGUCAGCGGUGGAAUAUUUAGAUUGAAGCAAUGUUUGGUUAGAUUGACUGGAGAAGUUACUCAUUGUGAAAAGGUUCCGGAGGAUGUAUGCUUGAGUACAAGGAAAAACCUGGAGGGAUGUCAUUCUGUUAGGAAGUGAAGGCAGUCUGAAUAUGAACACGGAUAUUUAAUUUCUACUCUAAUGAAUAUAAUGGAAUGGAAGAAGCAAGUAUAGGUUAUAAACAGAGAGGAAAGAAGGUAAUGACUUAUGACAACUUAAAUAGCGGAUUCUCCCCUCUCCAGACAUUAGGACACGUAGACCUGGGUGGGAACAUUUUGUUCCUCAAGAUGAAAAGAAGAAAAGGGUUAAAUGCAAUGAUUGUGAAAAAAUAAUCAGUGGAGGCAUAAACAGGUUCAAACAACAUCUGGCCAGGAUCCCAGGAGAAGUUGCAUACUGUGAAAAGGCUCCUGUGGAUGUGUAUCUAAAAAUUAAGGAGAACAUGAAAUGGCACCGUACUGGCAGAAGGCCUCGGAAACCGGUUAUUAAGGCAAUAUCUACUCUGUAUAUGCAUUCAGACAAUGAGAAAGAAGAGGAGCAUGAUGAAGGAUUUUUGCAAUGUAUAAAUAGGGAAAUGCUGGCUUUGGAUUAUAAAGUUUUAGACAGUGAAAUUAGAAAUAAUGUCAAGGGGAGGUGUCCUGGUACCAAUGCUGCUGAACCUAAUAGAUCAAGAUUAGAUUCUGUAUUUUUGAAAUCACUGAAGAACCAGACAUCCCCACUCUUCGAGCAAGUAAGAACAAAGAUGAUAUGUGAGAAGAAAACUUGCAAGGAAGUGUUAUCUGCCAUCUGCAAAUUCUAUUAUCAUUCAGCAAUCCCUUUGAAUGCAGCAAACUCCCCUUACUUCCAUAAAAUGCUAGAGUUGAUUGGCCAAUAUGUACAAGGUCUGAAAGGUCCUUUUAGCCAACUAAUAUCUGAUCGAUUCCUUCGAGAUGAGAUCACUACCAUUUAAGGAUAUGUAACAGAGUUUAAAGCAUAUUGGGCAGUUACUGGCUGCUCCAUCAUGGCUGAUGCCUGAUAGUUGGAAAGAUGUGCAGGGUAGGGCAAUAAUAAUUUUUUUGGUUUCUUGCCCUCGUGAUUUA